GAGACAGUGCCCUCGCGACAAUAGUCGUGCGUUUCCAUUUCGUUGGGGGUAGAAGCCUCUGUAUUCUGUUCACGAACCUCUUUGUUCACGUAAACAAACAGUGAGCUUGAGCUUACUGGGUAGCGGACGACGUAAACUGCGUUGAAUGUUUUGAGAUAUAGGAAAUAUGCGGCUAUGAAACUGAAGCGAGAAGAUGUGAUUUUCUGUUGGAAAAGACUGACAAUAGCAUGCCACGAAUAACUGUAAGGACGGAUUUGUUUACUAAGCAAAUAACAGGGUUGACCUCUCAGAUAAACAUGGAUGUUUCUAAGGAAACGGAACUGAGGCAUUUAAUUCGUAGGGAACAGCGUCGAAAUCGGAGGAGACGAAGGAGAAACGAAGUUGGUUCGUGUGUAAUUUGUCAAGAAAAUGUACUAAGGAGUGUUAGCAGUGUUUUAUCUUGUGGACACUACUUUCACACACACUGCAUUUUUGCCUGGAUUAAUGCUAAUACCUCUUGUCCAACAUGCAGAGCACCAGUUGAAUGUUACAAUAUAUGAACAGUGAUGUGGGCUUAAGAUACUGGAGAAGAAUAUUUAUUUCCUUGUUGUGUAUGUACCAGAGACAAAUGUUACCUAUUGUUAGUAUGUAUAUAUAUAAAGUCUGUAUAGAACUCACUGUUACAAAAGGUGCUGCAUUAGCAUGCCAAAUUUAUUAUAGUGGGAAUUCAGCAUUCACAUAAAAUGAUAUAAGCUCAUAUGUUGAUAUAUUGGCAUUGUGUUGUAUUGAACUAAUUUUAAGAUACAUGUUGUGAAAUACUUUUAUUUUUGUGUUUCAUUCUCCUUUGUCUCACAAAAAGUGUCUGAAAGAUGUUCUUGGUAUAAAACAAGAAGACAGUUAGAAGUACACAAAUAUAAGGAGAAUAGAGUCCAGAAGAUUUAUCAGAGGAGAAUGUAUGUAGAAAAAAAGAUGUAAAAGAAAACAAAA